UGUAACUUGGAGAUGAGGGACUGUACGGACUAGAAGGUGUGAUCUUUGGACUAGUAGGCGAGUAUGCUAGGGAAGGGCUGUAUCUGGCUGAGGGAUUGUAACUCGGUGAUGUAAGUAUGCUAGGGAAGGGCUGUAUCUGGCUGAGGGAUUGUAACUCGGUGAUGUAGGGCUGUAACUUGGAGAGGUAGGGCUGUAACUGGGGGAGGUGGGGCUAUAUCCAGGAGAGGUUGGGCUAUAUGCAGGUGAGGUGGGGCUGUAUGAUGGAGAAGUUGGACUGUAUGACGGAGAGGUGGGGCUGUACG
rnacentral:lncRNA from 1 species